UACGAAGGGGGCUAGCGUUGUUCGGAAUCACUGGGCGUAAAGCGCACGUAGGCGGAUUCUUAAGUCAGUGGUGAAAUCCCGAGGCUCAACCUCGGAACUGCCUUUGAUACUGGGAAUCUUGAGUAUGGUAGAGGUUGGUGGAACAGCAAGUGUAGAGGUGAAAUUCGUAGAUAUUUGCUAGAACACCAGUGGCGAAGGCGGCCAACUGGACCAUAACUGACGCUGAGGUGCGAAAGCGUGGGGAGCAAACAGG
rnacentral:rRNA from 1 species